AGCAGGACUACUCAAAAGCUGACAUGAAAUCUGGGAUUCCCAAAUACAAGUGCCUGUCCUGAACCUGAACAUGAUGAAACUAUCCUAUUGCAAUUCAAAUCAACUGGACCUACCACUGGCCAGGGCAGUGAGACCCAAUACACAGACAGUGGACAAGAAAAACAAGACUGAGAAGCCAGAGGCCUGACCUCCAGAUCUUCUUCCUCUUCCCAAGCAAGGAGACUCUAGAAUCACUAUCCAAGCACCUCCCC